GUAAGUGGGGUUUGUUCAAGAAUCUUGAAUGGGUCUUCUUGUGGGAACAUUAAGUCGAAUAACGGGCGUGUGUAUGGCAUUAAAGCUUGGGUUUUUGAUGGAAGAAUGGCUAGAAUUGUUGUUGCUAAGACAAGAAAACUCAUAACAUGAGCUUUUGCUUUUGCCAUCUUUUUUGAUUUGAUGAUAAUGUGAAGAGCUUAGGAAUGUGAGAGUAUUGUAGAGGAUUUUUG
rnacentral:misc_RNA from 1 species